GAACAAGCCCUAUUAUAACUAACUAAAAUUCUAAACAGACCAUCAUACCCAAGAAAUUCAUUACAAAAGAGUCUCAAGGUAAAUAUCGCUUGAAAACUUAAAUACUAAAAAUAAACAUUAACAUGUUUGACAACUAAAUCGGCCAACAAGUCAUGAGCCUCUAGUGAAAGUUUGAGUACAUAAAUCUUCGGGACGUUCUCUAGAAUGAUAUAAAAGUCAAAUGACAACUAAAGAUCAAAAAAGGGAACCAACAUCACUAGAAAGAGUCAACGGCUGCUUCAAGCCAUGUGCCUCGUCACCUACAAACUCAACGUCUACCACGUCUCAAGCCAUGUACCUCGUCACCUACAAACUCAACGUCUGUCACACAACGUGGCAGAUCCAAAUGAGCUAAGUACUUUCAAAAGAAUAUUCAAAAAGUCUCAUUGAUAACCCCUUAAGCGGAUAACAAGACUAUCGUGGGCUAUAUAUAAUUAUAAUAAAAUACAACAAGUAGGGAAGGUAAUUCACAAAAUACACAUUAAAUAAUCUGUAAACUGAAAUUGAUUCUGAAUACAGAAUUUAAACUGAUAACUAAAAAUUAAAAAUUUAAUACUAAAGCUGAUCGGAUAAUCAAGGGCGUAUCUAGGGGGUUCCAUGGGGCACGUGAAUCCAUGCUCCCCGCCCUAAAUAUCAUGUAUAAUAAUAUUAUAUUUUUUUAAAAAUAUUUAAAUAUAUGUGUGUGCACCCAUGCUCAAAGUAUUAUAUGAUGUGAUGGUUAUUGAGUGUACCUCUCUAGGUGAGGUUGUGAGUUCAAAUCUUAUGUCAAUCUUGUUAUUUUUUCCUCUCUUUUUUUCUAAAAGUAGACGCCCACGGGAGAUGGUUGUGUCUGGUAUUAUUUUUUGCGUAUUAAUUAAGUACUUUUUCUUUUUAAAUUUUUUGUUUAGUUUAUUCUUUUAAAAUUUUCACACACUGAAAUUCCUUUUCUUCUUUUGUCGUUGUAAAAUCUUAUAUGAUUAAACAAAAUAUGUAUAUUAAAACUAGUAGCAGUGUAAGAUGUAGCAUAUAGUCAAUGGGUUCAACUGAUCUCAAUAUUUUCAACAUGAAAAAUAGAUAUAGAUGUAAGAAAAUUACUAUUUAUAAAAAAAUUGAACUUAUAAUUCCAAAAGUGCAAUGGGUUCGCAAUCGUAAGAACUAAAGGUUGAACCCGUAAAAUUUAUAUUCUGGAUCCACCUCUUCUUAAUAGUGCACCCAUCCUGCCAAAACCCUGGAUCCGCCUCUGCGGAUAAUGAAACUAAAGUUGAGAGCUGAGUCUAAAACUGAUAUCUAAACUGACACUGAAAACUAAGUUAUAUUUUUAAAGAGUUACUCUUAAAAAAAAAUGAUUUACAUGAAUUGGACCUAGGAUGACAUACAGGGCCUACGAAAACGAUUGUGGGGCGCUCUAAUUGUGUUCACUCAAGCUCAAUCCAUAAUGGGACCAUCGAGUACGCCCAAUCAAGAUCUCAACCUAUCUGAAUGUGUUAGCACUUGCAAGUAUGGGGUAGUUAGCCCUGGCCACCGCGACACUCAUACUCAUGGAGGUUAGCUACUUCUCCCUUUUCGGAUAUGAUCUCAUUAAUUUAAAACUACAAAAGAAAAGUCUAAGUAGUACAAGUAAUUUCACAUAAGCAAGUGAUUGCAACAUCUCCUAUAAUUUUGUCAUUUUCUAUCAGAAGAGUUCACAAUCAUAUGUAGCUUAUUCUGAAAAGUAAUGCAAACAAUAAUAUGCACAUUCUAAUGUAGCUCUUAACUUAGGAAAGAAACCUCAACUUACCUUAAAUAUUCUUCUUUUCUGGCAGGGUUAGUCUCCCCAUGCAUUUACCACAAUUAAUCACCACAAUCUACACCAAAUAACUCAAUUAAAGUUCAUUCUAUCCCCAUGAAUUCAAUUUUCCUCAAUUCAAACUUUGGCUAAAAAGCCCUAAUCCCAAAACUUCGAUUUCAAGAUUUUGAAUAAAGUUUUACUCUUUUGGUGUUUCUAGUUUGUACAUGUCGUUCAUAAUCUUAGACCCAUAAAAGGAUUCAAAAAUACGAUGAGAGGUUACCUUAACUCAAAACCCUAGAUUUCUUGUUGUUUAGUGUUCUUGAACAUUUUGUAUGAACUUCCUACUAAUUCAACCUAUAAUAGCAUGAACUUCAACUUUAGUGGUGAGAAUUCAACUUAAUUUAGGUAGGAAUUGGUGUAAAGAUCUUACCUUGAGCAUUUCUCACAAGUACUAGGUGCACUAGGUUAAAGAAGAAAUCUUAUUCUUGGGUUCUUGUAGAUGAUCUAAUGAUUUGAAGAUAAAAUUUUAUUAGAAUCUAUGUUGGGGAGUAAUAAUCCAACCUUAAUCGCAUUAAAAUCUCACCUUGGGCGUUGAAAAAUGAUUUUGGGUCAACAUCUUCUUGAGUAGAAUAAACCCUACCUAUUUGGGGUGAUUGGAAUGGGAAAAUCCUGUCCACGGGCUAUUUAUAGACAGACUUCCCAGGUGGGGCGUGCCUUUUCAGGCUAAAGCAUAAAUAUUUCAG
rnacentral:lncRNA from 1 species